UACGUAGGGUGCAAGCGUUAUCCGGAAUUAUUGGGCGUAAAGAGCUCGUAGGCGGUUUGUCGCGUCUGCUGUGAAAACUGGAGGCUCAACCUCCAGCCUGCAGUGGGUACGGGCAGACUAGAGUGCGGUAGGGGAGAUUGGAAUUCCUGGUGUAGCGGUGGAAUGCGCAGAUAUCAGGAGGAACACCGGUGGCGAAGGCGGGUCUCUGGGCAGUAACUGACGCUGAGAAGCGAAAGCGUGGGGAGCGAACAGG
rnacentral:rRNA from 1 species